UACGAAGGGGGCUAGCGUUGCUCGGAAUUACUGGGCGUAAAGCGUGCGCAGGCGGCUUUGCAAGACAGAUGUGAAAUCCCCGGGCUUAACCUGGGAACUGCAUUUGUGACUGCAUGGCUGGAGUGCGGCAGAGGGGGAUGGAAUUCCGCGUGUAGCAGUGAAAUGCGUAGAUAUGCGGAGGAACACCGAUGGCGAAGGCAAUCCCCUGGACCUGUACUGACGCUCAUGCACGAAAGCGUGGGGAGCAAACAGG
rnacentral:rRNA from 1 species